GCUGCUGUUCUACAGUCACCAAACUCCCUGAUAGAGCUGGACCUGAGUCUCAAUGACCUGGGAGAUUCUGGAGUCCAUCUUGUCUCUAAGGGACUGUCUAGUCCCCACUGCAAACUGCAGACCUUAAGGCUCAGUCAGUGUGAUAUUUCAGAUGAAGGUUAUGUUUCCCUGGCUCUGGCUCUGAUGUUAAACCCCUCCUGUGUGAAAGAGCUGGAUGUGAACAACAAUCAUCCUGGAGAAUCAGCACAGAAACUGUUAUCUGCUACACUGAAGGAUCCUCAUCGCAAAGCUGAAGCACCUCAUCACCAAACUCCCUGAUAGAACUGGACCUGAGUCACAAUGACCUGGGAGAUUCUGGAGUCCAUCUUCUCUCUAAGGGACUGUCUAGUCCCCACUGCAGAGUGCACACAUUAAGACUUGCUAAGGGCAAACUCUCAGAGAAGUCCUGUGGAAUUGUGGCUGCUGUUCUACAGUCACCAAACUCCCUGAUAGAGCUGGACCUGAGUCACAAUGACCUGGGAGAUUCUGGAGUCCAUCUUCUCUCUAAGGGACUGUCUAGUCCCCACUGCAAACUGCAGAC